ACUCAAACUGGGGGGGCACUUUCUGUGCUGAGAGCAAAGCGCCGCCACUGUUUGAGU
rnacentral:miRNA from 1 species